UCCCUCGUGGCGCAAUUGGCUAGCGCGUCAGACUGUUAAUCUGGAGGCUGUAAGUUCAAUCCUUACCGAGGGAG
rnacentral:tRNA from 1 species